UACAGAGGGUGCGAGCGUUAAUCGGAAUUACUGGGCGUAAAGCGUGCGUAGACGGUAGCGUAAGUCAGAUGUGAAAGCCCCGGGCUCAACCUGGGAAUUGCAUUUGAGACUGCUCUGCUCGGGUGCGGAAGAGGGAAGCGGAAUUUCCGGUGUAGCGGUGAAAUGCGUAGAUAUCGGAAGGAACACCAGUGGCGAAAGCGGCUUCCUGGUCCGACACCGACGUUCAGGCACGAAAGCGUGGGAAGCAAACAGG
rnacentral:rRNA from 1 species